rnacentral:rRNA from 1 species
GAUGAACGCUAGCGGCAGGCUUAACACAUGCAAGUCGAGGGGCAGCAUAAAACAUUGCUUGCAAUGUUUGGUGGCGACCGGCGCACGGGUGCGUAACGCGUAUGCAACCUACCUAUAACAGGGGGAUAACACUGAGAAAUUGGUACUAAUACCCCGUAAUAUUAUUGAAGGCAUCUCUGAUAGUUGAAAGUUCCGGCGGUUAUAGAUGGGCAUGCGUUGUAUUAGCUAGUUGGUGAGGUAACGGCUCACCAAGGCGACGAUACAUAGGGGGACUGAGAGGUUAACCCCCCACAUUGGUACUGAGACACGGACUAA